ensembl:lncRNA
AGAGGGAGAGAGAGGGAGUGGGAGAGAGGGAGAGAUGGGGAGAGAGGGAGGGGGAGAGGGAGUGGGAGAGAGGGAGUGGGAGAGAGAGAGAGAUGGGGAGAGAGAGGGAGUAGGAGAAAAUGAGAGAUGGGGAGAGAGAGGGAGUGGGAGAAAGUGAGAGAUGGGGAGAGAGAGGGAGUGGGAGAAAAGGAGAGAGAGGGAGUGGGAGAGAGGGAGAGAGAGGGAGUGGGGAGAAAGAGAGAGAUGGGGAGAGAGGGAGUGGGAGAGAGGGAGAGAUGGGGAGAGAGAGGGAGGGAGAGAGAUGGAGAGAGGG